CGACUUGCAUGCAGUGCUUGCACGGCUUUCGGUAGUUUGCUAUUACUCUUUUUUAUUUAUCAAAGAUUAAUGGAUUCUUCUGAAGAAGAAGCCGAUUAUUAUAUUAUCAUCAAUAACAAUAAGGUACAACCUUACAUGUUUGAGCCUUUGGCCACGCGCAAGGUGGUCAUAAUGAUGACAAUUCUCCGUCAUCGGAAAGCGAAGAUAAACACAUUCACAGAAUUGGAAAUGUUGAAUGGUGUGAGUGUGGCUUUUGUGUGGUCAUGAGUACAGGACGGGAAAGUAUAUCUUGCCAAGAGGUAAACAAUACUGAUCCUCUGAUACAUGGCGAUCAUAUUUGCAUCACACAAGAGGAAGAGUUUGCCACA